UCCUGAUGGCUCACAUGAAGUUUCGUGCCGUUCCGACCUCGUUUGAUACGGUUAUGGUUAACCACACGGCCCCUCGGGCCCGACCCGAGCCCAGUCAACGUUUUGACCCGAUCAAAUCGGCCCGUGACCCGAAACGACCCUACUUGGGCCCUACAACAGCCACGUAAAGUUUCGGGAUGAUCCGACGUUCUUUCAUGGGGUUACGGACAAUCCACGCCAAACAAGCGUCACGGGCCGACCGAGCCGGGCCAACGGGCCCUCGGGACCCGAAAACUGAAUUUUUUUUCAUCCAAACCCAUUAAAACACGUUACCGAGGUCUCACGCAAAAUUUCAUGCCAAUCCGACGUCGUUUGAUGGGGUUUUGAGAUAUUAUGAUUCCUCAAAAAUUUAAUGUCUGUUCCUGUCACUUAGCUUUUUGUGCAAAAUGUAUAUAUAGGGGAGGGGUGGGUGUUGAGCAGCCCAUGCCCGGGCAAGGCAUGCCAGCGCCCAAGCCAAAGGAGGCUGGUGGCGUGCGUAUAACAGCUCAAAUGCCCCAACGAUGACCGAGAACAAGCGCCCAUCUCCCCUCCUUCCCCCCCACCAAGCGCCCCUCCCCCCCCCAUGUUGCCUGCCCACUCGCACAGCUACUCGUGAUUUCAUGCCCAGCGACUAGUGAAUGUGCCUCGACGACCAGCAAACCUCGAAAAUUAUGAUUCCUCGUAAAAUUAAUGUCUGUUCCUGUCACUUUACUUUUUGUGCAAAAUGUAUAUAUAGGGGAGACCAGGGGCUUGAGCAACCCCUGUGCCCAAGCAAGGGUCAGAUGGAAGCACACGAGACGCGAGGUUUAAAGCCUAUACAAGCAAGGCGUCUGUCUCCCCAAGCCCCAUUGCCUAUAAAACAAGCCCGAUGCCUUGUAAAUGCCCCACACGAUGCCUAUAAACGACAACGAUGUUUGCUAGUUAAUCGAUCGACGCCCCACACCUUGCAGCAUAUUGCCUAGUAAACAAGCCAUGCUGCCUUGGAAGCGCCCCACAUCAUGGCAUGUUGCCUAGCACGCUGCCCUUGUUUCCAGCACGGCGACCUGAAAGCGUGGCCUGACGACGUGCUUGCCUUCGAAAAUUAUGAUUCCUCAAAAAAUUAAUGUCUGUUCCUGUCACUUUACUUUUUGU
rnacentral:rRNA from 1 species